UCCAGGAAGCAGCCCAGACCAGCCACCCCACAGUAGACAUGGUGGAGACCCAGAAGGUCCAGCAAAUGCCAUGUGGACUGGAGCCUGCCCCCUCCACCUGUGAGAUGACGGAAGAGGCUCAUGUGGACCAUGACACCAGAUGAGGCAGACAUGACCGUUUCCAUUUUGACACGUGCAGAAACCAAGGAUCGCCUAAAAUUGAAACCUCUGUAUUGGCUGCAGUUUUCCUCCAUCUGCAAAAACACAUUAGAAAGAGAAAGAGGUUGGCAACUGACUUCAGGCUUUUCCCCCAGAGUGUUACUUACCUGACUUUAACCAGAUGCUGUGUAUCAGCCCUUCUCCCUCCUCCGUGCUCAGGCGGCAAAAGACAGAAGAAAUACAAGGAAUGCUUGUUAUGCUGUGGACUCUC